UUUUAUCGGAGAGUUUGAUCCUGGCUCAGGACGAACGCUGGCGGCGUGCCUAAUACAUGCAAGUCGAGCGGAUUGAUGGGAGCUUGCUCCCUGAUAUCAGCGGCGGACGGGUGAGUAACACGUGGGUAACCUGCCUGUAAGACUGGGAUAACUCCGGGAAACCGGGGCUAAUACCGGAUAACUCAUUUCCUCGCAUGAGGAAAUGUUGAAAGGUGGCUUUUAGCUACCACUUACAGAUGGACCCGCGGCGCAUUAGCUAGUUGGUGAGGUAACGGCUCACCAAGGCAACGAUGCGUAGCCGACCUGAGAGGGUGAUCGGCCACACUGGGACUGAGACACGGCCCAGACUCCUACGGGAGGCAGCAGUAGGGAAUCUUCCGCA
rnacentral:rRNA from 1 species